rnacentral:ncRNA from 1 species
UGCAAGGAUUUAGCAGUUGCUAUGGGAGCAAGUGGCUACAUCCUCAGGGAGGAUGGAAACCGCCAUAGGGCAGAAGGGCAAAAGCUCACUUGAUCUUGAUUUUCAGUAUGAAUACAGACCAUGAAAGCAGAGCCUCACUGUCCUGCUGGCCUUUUGGGUUUUAAGCAGGAG